GGGCGUGUGGUGGAAUUGGUAGACACACAGGACUUAAAAUCCUGAGAACGUAUGUUCGUGGGGGUUCAAGUCCCCCCGCGCCUACCA
rnacentral:tRNA from 1 species